rnacentral:rRNA from 1 species
GACGAACGCUGGCGGCGUGCUUAACACAUGCAAGUCGAACGGAAAGGCCCUGCUUUUGUGGGGUGCUCGAGUGGCGAACGGGUGAGUAACACGUGAGUAACCUGCCCUUGACUUUGGGAUAACUUCAGGAAACUGGGGCUAAUACCGGAUAGGAGCUCCUGCUGCAUGGUGGGGGUUGGAAAGUUUCGGCGGUUGGGGAUGGACUCGCGGCUUAUCAGCUUGUUGGUGGGGUAGUGGCUUACCAAGGCUUUGACGGGUAGCCGGCCUGAGAGGGUGACCGGCCACAUUGGGACUGAGAUACGGCCCAGACUCCUACGGGAGGCAGCAGUGGGGAAUAUUGCACAAUGGGCGGAAGCCUGAUGCAGCAACGCCGCGUGCGGGAUGACAGCCUUCGGGUUGUAAACCGCUUUCGCCUGUGACGAAGCGUGAGUGACGGUAAUGGGUAAAGAAGCACCGGCUAACUACGUGCCAGCAGCCGCGGUGAUACGUAGGGUGCGAGCGUUGUCCGGAUUUAUUGGGCGUAAAGGGCUCGUAGGUGGUUGAUCGCGUCGGAAGUGUAAUCUUGGGGCUUAACCCUGAGCGUGCUUUCGAUACGGGUUGACUUGAGGAAGGUAGGGGAGAAUGGAAUUCCUGGUGGAGCGGUGGAAUGCGCAGAUAUCAGGAGGAACACCAGUGGCGAAGGCGGUUCUCUGGGCCUUUCCUGACGCUGAGGAGCGAAAGCGUGGGGAGCGAACAGGCUUAGAUACCCUGGUAGUCCACGCUGUAAACGGUGGGUACUAGGUGUGGGGUCCAUUCCACGGGUUCCGUGCCGUAGCUAACGCUUUAAGUACCCCGCCUGGGGAGUACGGCCGCAAGGCUAAAACUCAAAGGAAUUGACGGGGCCCCGCACAAGCGGCGGAGCAUGCGGAUUAAUUCGAUGCAACGCGUAGAACCUUACCUGGGUUUGACAUGGAUCGGGAGCGCUCAGAGAUGGGUGUGCCUCUUUUGGGGUCGGUUCACAGGUGGUGCAUGGCUGUCGUCAGCUCGUGUCGUGAGAUGUUGGGUUAAGUCCCGCAACGAGCGCAACCCUUGUUCACUGUUGCCAGCACGUUAUGGUGGGGACUCAGUGGAGACCGCCGGGGUCAACUCGGAGGAAGGUGGGGAUGACGUCAAGUCAUCAUGCCCCUUAUGUCCAGGGCUUCACGCAUGCUACAAUGGCUGGUACAGAGAGUGGCGAGCCUGUGAGGGUGAGCGAAUCUCGGAAAGCCGGUCUCAGUUCGGAUUGGGGUCUGCAACUCGACCUCAUGAAGUCGGAGUCGCUAGUAAUCGCAGAUCAGCAACGCUGCGGUGAAUACGUUCCCGGG